UGUUGCUCCAUCUGCCAAACUGCAACAACUUCUACAGCAGUGAGUGUCGCGACUGUUAUGUUAGACCGUGUUUUCUACACUCCAUUCCCCUGUAACGUUGUACUGCCUAAAAAAGGAGGUCCAUAAGUGUCCCAAGAAAUAGUGUCUUUUUAAAACUAGACAGUUGCGUUCUUGAAUUUCAUUUAUAAUUUUGUUUAUCUCGUGACAAAUUUUUUACCUUGGUAAUUCAGAUGCUCACCGUGUUCAGUGUGCAGAUUUUUCGCCAGUCUGUUAAUAUCUACUACAUUGCAUUUUGCUGAAACGAGUUCUUAACGAGGUUGCGCAAUGUCCCCUGAUGAGUUCUGUUAUGCCUGUGGUGAACAUAGUUUAUUGAAAAAUAGACAGAACAUCACUAACUUCAUAAAGUAAACAUAUUUGGCAUCUUUGGUAUUCAUCUUGUGGAUAAAGAACAGCCAAGCACUCCCUAUGGGGCAGCACCAAUUUCACCUGACAACUCUUGUAUGGCUGCCCUUAUUUUUACUUGUAAGAUCUGUUGCAAACUUCAUCAGAAGAAGAUGGUUUAUGGAAAAUGGUCUCUGGAUGAAAACACUCACAACACUGGUGCAAUAUUCUACAAUAUUUAUUGUUUGUUCCACAAACUGCUUAUUGGCCAUCAUCUGGUACAAAGUUAAGUGUAUGGUGCAGAGAUAUUUGGUUGGAUCAAAGAUUUUAAACCAGUGCAUCUACACUGUAUCUUCAUUUCCAGAUAUGAAAAUAUUUAGCAAUGAAAUAAGAUUAUUUCAGUGUAAAUGUAAUAUAAUCUUUUGUAACUAAGAGAAAAUAUGUGACAAAUCAACAGAUGAAUUAUGUUCAAAUUAAAACAGUUGUUAUGGAAGAAAAUAA